rnacentral:lncRNA from 1 species
UAUGCACAUAGUUUGUUUUCUCUUGUGUUGAAUGUUGGCUUAAAAGUGUCCUGGACUCUGGUGUCAGCUCUGGACUGGCAGCUUGCAUUGCCCGCCCACCUGAAUCCCCAGGCUGCUGGUCAUGGAAAAGCUUCUGGGUCUCUCAUGUCAGACUCUCGGCUGACCACAAAUGAUCUGCACAUUGUCCCCUACCUGGAAGACAUGUCUGAGAGAGAAGAUCAAAACCCCACCUCUACUUCUGAAAGAAACCAGCCAGCGUUCACCUGGCAGGAAGUGGGAUCAGGGAUCUGCAUGGGCUUCCCCCUGCAGCAGACGGAGGCUGCCCUUGCCUGCCCGUUGCCCACUAAGCUAUUUUGGCCCUGGAAGGGGGCCCAUUCCUCCUCCAUCAGAUACUCUCUUGGCAGAGCUGACAGUCAAGGUGGUUCGAGUUUCUACAGUCAAGGGGCAGGCAUCUGAUCCAAGGUAGGAAGCUUGUGUUCUUCCUUGAGGAACCCAGCACUGGCUUUGCCCGACAGCAGCACCCUCAUAGAACCCUUUGGUUCCAGCCACCCCAACCCGCACGGCUGCAUGAGGGCUGUCCUUUCUGAGCCUAGCCCUGCUACCCUCCCUCUGAGAAGUGAAGUCGGCUAGGCUUCUGGGUCGGGUGGGGACUUGGAGAACUUUUGUGUCUAACUAAAGGAUUGUAAACAGACCAAUCAGCGCUCUGUGUCUAGCUAAAGGUUUGUAAACGCACCAAUCAGCACUCUGUCAAAACGGACCAAUCAGCACUCUGUAAAAUGGACCAAUCAGCACUCUGUAAAAUGGACCAAUCAGCAGGAUGGGGGGGCGGGGCAAAUAAUGGAAUAAAAGCUGGCCACCCCCUGCGGCAGCGGCAACCCGCUUGAGUCCUGUUCCACGCUGUGGAAACUUUGUUUUUUUUUCUUUGCAAUAAAUCUUGCCACUGGCUCACGGUUUGGGUGAGGCACUGCAUUUAUGAGCUAUGACACUCACUGGAAAGGUCUGCAGGUUCACUCCUGAAGUCAGUGAGACCACAAACCCACCGGGAGGAACGAACAAUCUUGGACGCGCCGCCUUUAAGAGCUGUAAGACUCACUGCGAAGGUCUGCGGCUUCACUUCUGAAGUCAGGAAGACCACGAACCCACCAGAAGGAAGAAACUCUGGACACAUCUUAACAUCUGAAGGAACAAACUCUGGACACACCGUCUUUAAGAAUUGUAACACUUGCUGUGAGAGUCUGCAGCUUCAUUCUUGAAGUCAGGGAGACCAAGAACCCACCAGAAGGAACCAGUUCCGGACGCACUUCCAGCCAGAUGAGUGGCUCUGCAGACUUCCAAAGGAGCCGCUUUCUGUGCAAGUUGGACCAAGUCUGUUUCUCCUGUCCAUGAGGAUAAGGGUCCUGGAUAUCCUAGGUCGCCUGGUGGAGGGGCCCUCGGGAAUCCAACGAUCACCACUGCAAGUCAGCCUCAGCACCAGCACUCAGAUGCAGGGGUGGCUGGCCUCAGGCUUCCUCAGCCCAGGUGCAUGGCCUCUCGCUCAGCUCUUUGUGGCUCAGUCAUUCAUCACUCUGAUCAAACUCAUCUUGACAAAGGACAAAGCAAUACCUUCGAUCCUGCUUUUUAGCAGCCAUCCUGGCAGCCUGUGACUGCUCAGCCUCCCAAAGGCAGGACCAGGUCCAGGACCCACCCGAAUUCCUGGACAGAGCUCGACUGUCAGCUUGAGGCUUCCUGGGCUGGGCCAAAUGCAAAGAAACCCAGGGGUCCUCUGCAUCCUGAGCCUGGCGCCAACCUGCAGUAGCAACAUGAGUGAGGCCCAGGAGCCUGCCAGGACUGGGUUUACGCCCCAGAGCCGCCACUCACUACUCAUCAGCUGGACAAAGAGCUUCUCUGAGUUUCAGUUUCCAGAUCUGCAAAAUAGGUGUAACAAUCCCUGUGUCUGAGCAUCUGCAGGGAGAUCAAAUUCUCGUCUCUGGAACAUGACAGCUUCCAAAUCUGAGCCAUCCUGUCACUUCUCUUGGGUCAAUUGGGGUUUCCACGAUGUCACCCCAUCAGACUGUCACUAACAUGGCCUGAGAGCCCUGGGCUCGGGGACUGCCAGCAUGGUAGGUUUCCCUCCCCGUACUCCUGCCGUUACUUCCCUGAUGAGACCAUCCCCCAGAGAAGGGAAAGGAGGGCAGUUUCGUUCAUUUAGUGCAGAGCCUGGGAGGUGGGAGGAGCCUGGGCUAGCUUCAUUUUUUUGAGGUUCUUGGUAUGCUACAGAUGAGAAGGUUGCAGUGAUUGUGGUAUAAUUUCAGUGUUCUCACAACAAAUUAGAACACAGCAUACUUGUGGUGUUGACAGGACAACUGCAGAACUCAGUACAUUUCCUGGGGAGUUCUGAGUGGUGCAGUCUUAGGGCAGGAUACAAGCUUUGGGUCUCAGGAUGGCUGUCCACUUCUGCUGGAUCUGGGGUGCACCCUUACAGUCUGAAUUUCUAGAAAAAGGCAUAAUCAAACCCCCUGCAGAACUUUCACGGGAUCCCAUUCAAAUAAAACAGGGUGGAGGGACACGUUGAGAUGUUUGGAAAUAUCUGAAUAAGGGUGGGAUAUGGGGUUAUUUUAGGGAAUUCAUUGUUCAUAGGGAAUUCACUGUUCAUUGUCCCAGCCGUGAUAGCAUGGAAGAACAGCCCAAAGGGUCAUAAGAUAGUUCAGGAAAGAGCUUUACAAGUCAAAGUGACAGAGCAGCAGGUCCCCAACACUUUUGACACCAGGGACCAGGUUUAGUGGAAGACAAUUUCUCCAUGGACUGGAAUCAGGCUGGGGGUGGUUUUGAGAUGAUUCAAGCACAUUACAUUUAUUGUGCACUUUAAUUCUAUUAUUAUUAACUUGUAAUAUAUAAUGAAAUAUUAUACAACUCACCAUAAUGUAGAUCAGUGGGAGCCCUGAGCUUGUUUUCCUGCAACUAGACAGUCCCAUCUGGAGGUGAUGGAAGACAGUGACAGAUCAUCAGGCAUUAGAUUCUCAUAAGGAGCACGGAACCUAGAUCCCUCGCACACACAGUUCACGGUACGGCUCACGCUCCUAUGAGAAUUCAGUGCUGCUGCUGAUGUGACAGGAGGUGGAGCUUAGGUGGUAACGUGAGCAAUGGGGAGCAGCUGUAAAUACAGAUGAGGCUUCACUCGCUCACCAGCCUGCUCCGUGAGGUUGGGGACCCGUCAGAUACAGCAUUUAUGACCACAUGAUAACCACAGCUGAAUCCAGGUGGUGGGAUACACAGCUGCUUCAUUGUACCAAUCUCAACUUUUUCAUGUAUUUGAAAUUUUUCAUUAGAAGAGAGUAAAUUUUUUGGAUUGCUACUGC